CUGGUACGUAUGCAUGGGGGGCUGCUUGUUUGGCAUAUUUAUAUAAGCAGCUAGGUAUCGCGAGUAGAAGAGAUGUCAAGGGAAUCUGUGGAUAUUUAACAUUACUUGAGGCUUGGAUAUACGAACAUUUUCCAUUGACUAGAAGUAAACAUAAUUUAUCAUAUACUAACGAGUUGCCUAGGGCUCAUCGCUGGCUUCCUGUUCGUGAGUACGAUUCUUUGCAAUCUUUGCGAGAGCGACUUGAUGACUUAACUGAAGAUCAGGUCAUAUGGACACCAUAUAGGAGGCAUCGUGCACAACACCCACUCCAUGAGAUUGCAUUCUUCUCCGGAUGUCUUAAGUGUGGAGGCGUGAUUGAGCCAUAUCAUCCGGAGAGGGUUCUGCGACAAUUUGGGCAUAGGUAGAAUAUACCUCCACCUCCAUUAUCUCCUAUUGAAGCCAAGCGGGGUAGAGCUAC